CUGGCUGCCCCUGAACAGGGUCGGGAUGUGCCCGCUGCGCCCUGCUCCGGCGGGACCAGGAGAGCCGGGCGGGCGGCGGGUACCUGCGGAGUGCGCUGCGCCGCCGUGUUCGCCCUGCACAGCCAGUUUGCUCACACGCUUUUAUUGAAAGCCUACUGUAUGCAAAGCCUCGUCCCAGAGGCCAGGAAUACAGAGCCCGGGGUCGUGACACUCCAGAAGCCCUGAUGAGACACACAAUCCAGGAAGAAGGCAGACAGAUGAAACAAGAAAAUAUUGAUUGUGAGGCAAAUGGAGAGAGAGAAAUACAAGCAAAAACAGAAGUGAAAGAAGAGGAAGUAAAGGGAGAGGGUGAUCAUACACUGGAGUCUCUAAAAAUUAAGACCACCUCUGGGUAAAACUGUGAAGCAGAGGAAGGGAAGAAGACGGAAGAAGAAAGGAACAUGGAUGGAGAAGUCCUGCUAUGCACUAGCAAGAAGAUAGAGGCUUUCUACCUUUCCUCACCAGCUAGAGCUGUGACUUCAUGUCCUAAACAACAGUGAGGCUGAAGGAAGAAGCUAAGAUCUGAGAUUUUUCACCUGUUUUCUCUGCACUAACCCAGAGCGAGAGACUGUGGAAGAUGAGCUCUGAGCUAAGGCAUCCAACGUCAAUCCUCCUCUUUUUGCUAAGGAAGAUGGACACUGAGCUAACAUCUGUGCCCAUCUUCCUCUAUUUUAUACGUGGGAUG